UCCCACACUAAGAAAUAUAAAUAUAGCCUAAUAGCCAAUUAAUUCAGACAGUUCAUUCUCGUUGAACGAAACAGCACCCAAAGAGAAAGAAAAAUGUGUUCAGAUCUUGAGUGCGGAAUUUGUUACCGAAGCUACAACACCGGCCGUCGGUGUCCUCGUGAGUUACAGUGUAAACACAGCUUUUGUGAGCGCUGUCUGGUGACUCUUUCCCAAUCCUCGGUAUGUGAAGUGGAAUCCACGAAGGAAUGUUCGCCGCAGGACAAGACAAUUGUUUGCCCACUCUGCCGAUACCCGACCUCUGUAUCGGGAAAAGUGAGGGCAGCGCUUCGGGUAGACGAAAGUGUUCUAGAGCGCAUGGUGGUAUCUGGCGUUCUCGGGGAAAGCAUGACAGACGACGAGGGGGAUAGUGAGGGGAAGGAGGAUGACAAUGAGACUCCCCAUGAGAACUCAGACGAGGAAAGGGGUUCCAGAGGUGGAAGGUUCCGCCGUUCGCUGAGGCGCGUCUGGGGCAAAUUCACUGGGAAUCAUUCCCAAAGGAGAGCGCAUUGUAUGACUGAUGAGGACCUACGAGACCUCUUCAUGAUGUCAUGCUAUACCAUUUGAUGCGGACUUCAUUGAUUGGAAAGUCAUCAGGGCUGCGUUCAGUACGUUUUUACGUUCUGUCACGUUCAGUUGAACGGAUCCGGUGCUGUACUGAACGACCAGUUGAAAAACCGGGUGGUAGAAAGCUGUCGGCAUGGCCACUGCCCUUUAAAUAUGUCACACAUUGCUUCAAGCCACACCUCGCCACACCCACCAACGGGAGCCACCCUACCUCAGUCUGUUCAAUAACGUUUUGGGGGAAACGUGUCAAUCGGUACAAACCGUUCCGUAACUUAGCAAACGUUCGAGCGAACUGAACGCACCUCAGUGGCACCUGAUUGAUCAGAGAGGGGGCGUUGCCGUCCACGAGCCUACACUACAGUAACCCAUUUAGACUGUAGAAGACUGGCGGGUCCAGUUGGAAGUUGGAGCAAGCAGUAAUAUGUAUUCCAUAUAAUAGCCAACUAGGCCUCUGUGUCCAUUUCUUCACACAUGCAUGUAAUAAUUGGUGGUGACCAAACACAUAAUGGUAACAGAAUUGUAAAUACUAUAGGCUGUUCUUUGAAGCCAUUGGGCUACUGAAUGAAAUAGUUUUAUCUAAAAUUGUAUUUUUUUGUGCUUUGAAGUAGCCUAUGGCUUUCCAUUUCCAACUAUUAGAAUGUGUUGAAUUUUGUUGGUGCUCAGUUCAAGAAAAAACUACUUGAAUGUAGUGUAUUUAUUAAAUUCACGUUUAUUGAUUGUGUGUGAUAUUUUGCACCUUUGUUUUGUUGUAAUAAAACAUGUUAUUGUUUUUUAAAAUUUCUUCUCUCGCCGGGAUAAAUGGCUUGCAGUAGUAACUGAUGCUUGCUUUUUCGCUGAAGAAUAAGUUAAUAAAUAAUACUGUUCUGAACUUCUGCUUGGUUUACCAUUAUUUAGAAUAUAAGACGGCGUAUGCUCAUGUCAUAUAGACCUAUCCAACAAGUGAGACCAGGGGCCUGUUGCACAAAAGUAGAAUUAAGACAUCCGGGAUAAAUGACUCAGCUGAGCUCAAUGAAGCCAAAACAUGUGCGUCCAGGCUUAAUUGGUUGCACAAAGACCAAGCCAGGAUGAGCAGACACGGAUUCAUUAAACCAGGUGAAACCAAUCCUGGAUAGGUGCGCGCUCACGGCUCACUCAAAUAGACCCCGCCACAGAUCACAGAUUAACUGAUUUACCAUGGCAACUAGAGCCGCGUACUUUUCCCCGUCGGAAGCACAAAUCCUCAUGGAGGCAUACGAGGAGGUAAAAGAUAUAAUUAAGAAGAAAGGCAACACCGCCACAGUGAUAAAGCAAAGAGAAAAAGCGUGGCAAAGUAUUGCAGACCGCCUGAAUGCAUUAAACAUGAACGGGCCAAAACGGACAUGGCAGCAGGUCAAAAUCAAAUACAAGAACAUUCUGCAGAAUGCAGUGAAAAAGAAUACCCACAGACAAGGCACGGGUGGUGGGUCACCAAAGGCUGACCUUACCCCAGCAGAGGACAUGGCCUUGGAGCUAAAUAAAGGCAGGCCCGUCUUAGAGGGGAUCCCUGGGGGGAAAGAGACGAGCAUAGGUUCCUCCCAAGAUGCCACCCGCUUCAUUCAAGGUAUGUCCUUCCAUCUCUACAUGGGAUACAACCACAUUCAUAUUGAAUCAAUUUGGACUGUCUGACUUUGGUUUACCUAUUGCCUGGCAGCACUGUGUUCCUGUUAGAGCCACCAGCACAAGCACCAGACGAUGCUGAUCCAGUGAGUACUCCAUCAAAGGCAUACUGUAGGCCUGGCAUGUCUUGUCUACUAGCUUCAAUAUGAAUCCGAUUAAAUGUGAUAGGGUGAAUGCCCCAGUGCAGCAGCAACAGCACAUGAUGGAGACGAUGAUGAGGAGGAGACCAUCUCUCUGGAUUCCAGAAGGCAUGAGGUAUCAUGUUAAGACUGUGAAAGUACUAUUUACUCUACAAUGGUGAGGAGUCCUCAUCAAAAUCAAAAAAUCUCAUUUCUUUUACAGGACCCAGAUGCUAUACAGUGGGAAAACCAGCCUGGCAACAUAGUGCGUAUUAAUAAAAGGACACCACAUCCUGCCAAAUUCCAGCUGCGCUAAUUGUAUUGUGUUCACAGAGCUCACAAGCUAUCAGAAAGUUGUAUGGCAACCACCUCCGGCGCCAAAUAGAACUGGCAGACAUAGACAUUCAGUACAAGAAGAAAAAGAUGGAAAAUCUUGCACUGGAGUCCGAAAUAAAAAAGAGGACAAUUAGGAAACUGGACCUUGAAAUAAAAAAACUUGAGAGGGAGCUCCAAGAAGAUGACACAGCUCAAAAUAAAAAUUAGGUAUAUUCUCGUAAAGUCAAGUGAGCCAUGACAUAUGAGCUCUUAUUGUGAGCACACAGGACGGUGGCAUCUUUCUAAGUUUUUUUUUAUUUUCCCAGCAAUCAGUACAACCAAGUCAUCGUUAUAAGGCAUCGCCCUCUUUUGCCCACCCCCCCAGCACCAGGUGUGGCCACUAGCCUAUAUGAAGGCCCAAAAUUGUGUGUUCCUUUCUGCUCUGACAAUGGCAUGCCCAUUCGUGCGAGAUGUGGUGGAUGAAGAAGCACUUGUGCUGAGGAGAGCCUUCAGGCGAGAAAGGGUCUUUCAGGGACCGGUUGGACCCACUGGCCUUCCCUGAUGACCAUCUAUAUGAAAGAUACAGGCUUUCUGCAGAUGGCAUCAGGUAUCUAUGCAGACUACUGGGUCCCAGGAUUAAGCACCGCACUGCACGGAGCCAUGCACUGAGUGUGGAGCAAAUGGUUUGUGUGGCCUUGCGCUUUUUUGCUAGUGGAGCCUUCCUGUACUCAGUGGGGGAUGCAGAACAGCUGAACAAGGCCACAAUUUGCCGCACAAUAAGGAGUGUGUGUCUGGCUAUCAAAGCAUUAGCAGAUGUCUUCAUCUCCUUCCCGGGCCACAGAAGACUCUGUGACAUCAAAGAGGAGUUCUAUAGGAUUGCAGGUUUCCCCAAUGUCAUUGGUGCAGUGGACUGCACACACAUAAGGAUAAAAGCCCCCUCAGGUGCCCAUGAGGCCGAUUUUUGUGAAUAGGAAAUCCUUUCACAGCAUUAAUGUUCAGAUGGUCUGCAAUGCUGACUGUGUGAUCAGCAAUGUUGUGGCAAAAUGGCCUGGCUCAGUCCAUGACUCCAGAAUCUUUCGGGCCUCUGAAAUCUAUCAGUGCCUAUCACAAGGUGAAUUCUCUGGUGUGUUGCUGGGAGACAGGGGGUAUGGCUGCCAGCCUUUUCUCCUGACACCUUUCACAGACCCCCAGGAAGCACAGCAGGCCUACAACCAUGCCCAUGCCAGGACCAGGGCCAGAGUUGAAAUGACCUUUGGCCUCCUGAAGGCACGCUUUCACUGCCUUCACAAAUUAAGGGUCAGCCCUGUUAGGGCAUGUGAUAUUACUGUGGCUUGUGCUGUCCUCCACAAUGUGGCCUGCCUGAGGAAGGAGAGGGCCCCCAGAGUGCCACCAGCCAUGGACUGGGACAAUCCGGCAAUCUUCCCUGAUGACGACAGUGGUCGGCUGCUGAGGGACCAAUAUGUGUUGAAUUAUUUUAGUUAGUAUGUGUGCUUUCAAUUUUGGUUAAAUAUGUCCUGCGGUGGCAGAGGAAUUUGGGUUUUUUUGGGUUCGUUUUUGACGAAUUUGGCCUCUUAUGAUGUUUGUGCGGUAUACUGUGUGUAAUACAAGGCUGCAGGAGGCUACUGCAUCCAUUCAUUUGUCUGUUCAGUUGAUGUGUAUGGAUUUGUCCUGCAUUUAUUUUAGUGUGCAGACAUGCAGGGUGUGUUAUAUACAGACCUUUGAAUGUGUAUGUAUCAUUUUGUAUAAUAUGCUUGGAUUCUGUGCUUUCCAUCUUGUAGAGUCACUGUGACUUCAGUUUCGAAAGGAGCUGAUGGUUUACCUGCUUUGUUUUGUCCUUAUUCAAUAAAGGAACAUAAUGUUACACAUUGUGUUUUUAUAUUCAUA